UAGAGUUUGAUCCGGCUCAGGACGAACGCUGGCGGCGUGCUUAACACAUGCAAGUCGAGCGGAAAGGCCCUUCGGGGUACUCGAGCGGCGAACGGGUGAGUAACACGUGAGUAACCUGCCCUGGGCUUUGGGAUAACCCUCGGAAACGGGGGCUAAUACCGGAUAUCCACUUGUGAUCGCAUGGUUGUGGGUGGAAAGUUUUUCGGCCUGGGAUGGGCUCGCGGCCUAUCAGCUUGUUGGUGGGGUGAUGGCCUACCAAGGCGACGACGGGUAGCCGGCCUGAGAGGGCGACCGGCCACACUGGGACUGAGACACGGCCCAGACUCCUACGGGAGGCAGCAGUGGGGAAUAUUGCACAAUGGGCGGAAGCCUGAUGCAGCGACGCCGCGUGAGGGAUGACGGCCUUCGGGUUGUAAACCUUUUUCAGCAGGGACGAAGCGUAAGUGACGGUACCUGCAGAAGAAGCGCCGGCCAACUACGUGCCAGCAGCCGCGGUAAGACGUAGGGCGCGAGCGUUGUCCGGAUUUAUUGGGCGUAAAGAGCUCGUAGGCGGCUUGUCGCGUCGGCUGUGAAAUCCCGUGGCUCAACUGCGGGCUUGCAGCCGAUACGGGCAGGCUAGAGUUCGGUAGGGGAGACUGGAAUUCCUGGUGUAGCGGUGAAAUGCGCAGAUAUCAGGAGGAACACCGGUGGCGAAGGCGGGUCUCUGGGCCGAUACUGACGCUGAGGAGCGAAAGCGUGGGGAGCGAACAGGAUUAGAUACCCUGGUAGUCCACGCUGUAAACGUUGGGCGCUAGGUGUGGGGGGCCUCUCCGGUUCUCUGUGCCGCAGCUAACGCAUUAAGCGCCCCGCCUGGGGAGUACGGCCGCAAGGCUAAAACUCAAAGGAAUUGACGGG
rnacentral:rRNA from 1 species